ACUCCUGUCGUCUAGUUGGCCUAGGACAGCGCCCUUUCACGGCGUCAACGCGAGUUCGAAUCUCGUCAGGAGUGCCA
rnacentral:tRNA from 1 species